GGCCGAUGCUGGCGCUUACCAUGCAGUCGAACGCUGAAGCUUGGUGCUUGCACUGGGUGGAUGAGUGGCGAACGGGUGAGUAAUACGUGAGUAACCUGCCCUUGACUCUGGGAUAAGCCUGGGAAACUGGGUCUAAUACUGGAUACGACGGCGCAUCGCAUGGUGUGUUGUGGAAAGGGUUUUACUGGUUUUGGAUGGGCUCACGGCCUAUCAGCUUGUUGGUGGGGUAAUGGCUCACCAAGGCGACGACGGGUAGCCGGCCUGAGAGGGUGACCGGCCACACUGGGACUGAGACACGGCCCAGACUCCUACGGGAGGCAGCAGUGGGGAAUAUUGCACAAUGGGCGGAAGCCUGAUGCAGCGACGCCGCGUGAGGGAUGACGGCCUUCGGGUUGUAAACCUCUUUCAGCACGGAAGAAGCGAGAGUGACGGUACGUGCAGAAGAAGCGCCGGCUAACUACGUGCCAGCAGCCGCGGUAAUACGUAGGGCGCAAGCGUUGUCCGGAAUUAUUGGGCGUAAAGAGCUCGUAGGCGGUUUGUCGCGUCUGCUGUGAAAGCCCGGGGCUUAACCCCGGGUGUGCAGUGGGUACGGGCAGACUUGAGUGCAGUAGGGGAGACUGGAAUUCCUGGUGUAGCGGUGAAAUGCGCAGAUAUCAGGAGGAACACCGAUGGCGAAGGCAGGUCUCUGGGCUGUUACUGACGCUGAGGAGCGAAAGCAUGGGGAGCGAACAGGAUUAGAUACCCUGGUAGUCCAUGCCGUAAACGUUGGGCACUAGGUGUGGGGAACAUUCCACGUUUUCCGCGCCGUAGCUAACGCAUUAAGUGCCCCGCCUGGGGAGUACGGCCGCAAGGCUAAAACUCAAAGGAAUUGACGGGGGCCCGCACAAGCGGCGGAGCAUGCGGAUUAAUUCGAUGCAACGCGAAGAACCUUACCAAGGCUUGACAUACACCGGACCGGGCCAGAGAUGGUCUUUCCCCCUUGGUGGGGGCUGGUGUACAGGUGGUGCAUGGUUGUCGUCAGCUCGUGUCGUGAGAUGUUGGGUUAAGUCCCGCAACGAGCGCACCCUCGUUCUAUGUUGCCAGCACGUGAUGGUGGGGACUCAUAGGAGACUGCCGGGGUUCAACUCGGAGACGUGGGGGAUGACGUCAAUCAUCAUGCCCCUUAUGUUCUGGCUCCACCGCCAUGCCUACAUGCAAGUUACAAUGGGUUGCCAAUGCAGUAAGGGUGCACUAUCCCAAGAGCUGAUCCUCAGCUCGGAAAUUCCGUGGU
rnacentral:rRNA from 1 species